rnacentral:rRNA from 1 species
AACGCGAAGAACCUUACCAGGGUUUGACAUCCUGCGAAUCCCUUGGAAACGAGGGAGUGCCUUCGGGAGCGCAGAGACAGGUGGUGCAUGGCUGUCGUCAGCUCGUGUCGUGAGAUGUUGGGUUAAGUCCCGCAACGAGCGCAACCCACGUCGUUAGUUGCCAGCAUUUAGUUGGGCACUCUAGCGAGACCGCCGGUGAUAAACCGGAGGAAGGUGUGGAUGACGUCAAGUCAUCAUGCCCCUUACAUCCUGGGCUACACACGUACUACAAUGCUACGGACAAAGGGCAGCAAACUCGCGAGAGCUAGCAAAUCCCAUAAACCGUGGCUCAGUUCAGAUCGUAGGCUGCAACUCGCCUACGUGAAGGAGGAAUCGCUAGUAAUCGCAGGUCAGCAUACUGCGGUGAAUACGUUCCCGGGUCUUGUACACACCG